UUCAUUUCCAACUUUUUGAUAUUUCCAAAGGCCCUUACACCGAAAUUUGACUCGUCCCAGUUGAGGCAAAUCACGCAUUCUAAUCUAACUUCCAUGAUAUCUAAGAUUCAAAGCAAAAAGGCACUCCAUCUUAGCCUGGUCAUGUUGUCAUGACAAUACCAUGCUUAACCAAUCACAAAGCUCCAUUCACAUGUUUCUACUCCAAAAGAUUUAUCCCGACCCCUCUCUAGACGAGAGAAAAAGGUUAUAUCGCAGUUUACAAGAUGGCUGCCAAGAUACGACAGACCGUCUCCAACUUCUCUCAAGAAUGUUCGUUUACGGUUCAUCUGGUCAUUUUGAGUUUAGACAUGGAAGUGCAAGGAGUCCAAAGCAAAGCUGUGCUAGUACUUACAAAACAAGGGUUUGCUUUCUGGUUGAAAAGUUCCUACAAAGAAUUUGGACCUUUGAUUCAAAUGGAGAAUUAGGGAGCGGACAACUAUUUUCUCAGUCAGCCAAGUACUCAAGGACUUGCCAAGAAAAAAAAGGUGCUAGAUGAACUUAUGACGACAUUACUUUGGAUUCCUUAGAGGCAAGAGAAGGGGUGCCAAAAAUGCCCGCUACAAAUACGACAAUGAACGGAACCCUGCUGCUUUCAAACCUUUUUUGUGCGAACCAAUUAUCUGACUUUUGCUUGUUAGAAGCGCAAUAAUAUACUUUUUUUCUUGACCUUAAGAAUGGCUUCCUGCGCAACACAACGGAUAACGGGUUCCAUAUUGUUCUCUCUGUUCUGUGUACUAUAUUGGCUUCCUAGCCAUCCAUCACGUGUGAUCCUCUUGCCUUUUCAUGCUAUAAAUUUAUCAAACCAUAAAAUGGUGGCUCAAUAGUUAUUCAGUUUUGAAAAAAGCUUUUAUUCUUUGUUGCUAAAAUAAUCUUAUAAAGGCAUUGAAUUUGGUCUUUAAAUUGACACGAGGUCGAAGAAUAGUUUCAAAUAACCUCAGGCUAUUUGCUGUUCUACGCCCUCGACUUGACUAUUUGCGCUUAACCACUCUGUAACUUUAACGUACCUUUUACAUCUUAAAACCAUUCAUAGUCAAGAAGAAAACAAUCGUGUAUUGAUGAAUUCGAUGAAAACGGGUUAGCCGUUGUUGACAGAGAAUGCGUGGCACAUCACAAAUAGAGUAAAGUGCCACAGUAGUGUCACAGUCUAAAAUGCGCACUUAGUGUAGCAUUUUAAAAUCACUCAUUUGCUCUUUUCUUGGCGUGAAGCAUGAUUCUGUUACGCGCGCGCGUUUAGAAAAACACUCAAGGAAACGUCAACUGCUAAGAAACCGGCUUCAAUCCCCUAGCUGAGAUCAACAGACGUAAAAUGAAUUAUAGGCUUUAAAACUUACCAUUCAUUGCCAGGUAGUGAACAAUUUAUACUAAUAAGAGGUUGAUUUACAUUUAUAAAUAAUCGCGCUUUAAAAAAUGUUCAUUCAUCUAUUAAUCCAUCGCCCUUUAAGAAAAAAGAAAUAACAUGUUCAUAUUUACUUCACUGUUUGAGUGAAAAAGAAAGCAAUUUAUUCUGAAUAUCGAAGUCUUGUCUUAAUAAAUCAUCUCGUUUGGCUUCAA